rnacentral:lncRNA from 1 species
AAGCAAUCACAAACCCCUAAGUUAUGAAUUUUUGAAUGCAAAACACAAACCUGAAAGUUUAUGGAGAGGUUUGCUAGUCUCUUUAUAAAUUUGUUUAAAAUAGUUUUACAUUUUCAAAAAUUAUAAAAAUUUGAUAUGUUGUGUGUUGAGUGUUAGAAAAUGCAUAUUUAUAAAGGAGAAAACCGUCAUUUUACAUUUCAAGUCUUACUAACAACCCUUACUUUUAUGUAUUUAACAUUCUUGUGAUUUAAUUACAUGUGUUUUAUUUUAUUUAAGUAUUUUAUGUAUUUUAGGGGCAUUAUAGUCAUUUCACAAUAAAGGAGAGAUCAGACGGCAAAACGGACAUCACUUUUGAACUCAGGACAGUCGAAAACCUUAGGAGGAGCAUAAAAGGAAAAAUGACACUAUUCACAUGUACGGUACUAUUCACGUGUACGGUACUGUCUACGUUACUGUUCACGACAUUGUUCACAUAGACGGAUCGAUGACGUGGCAUUGACCGAUGAUGUGGCAUUGACUGAUGAGGUGUCACGAUAUUGUUGGGCUAAAAUUCUUAUGUACUGUUGACUGAUGACGUGGCGCAAUCCUGAGCGUCCAAACUGUUUUUAAUCUGAUGGCCAUGAUUUACUCCAUGUAUCUAUAAAAAGGGGGCCUCUCCCCCCUAAUUUGAUAUCUCUGAAUCCAUUUUUGAACUCCAUUUUCUAUAAUUCCUUCUCCAUCUUGUAUUUUCUUCAUAUUUUAAUAAAUUUCUAUUUUGCCCCUAAUUCAAUUAUGAGUGGCUAAUUUUCUUUCAAGCUUGGGUUGAAGGUAAAGUCUCAACAUGUGUCAUGGGCUUUAUUUGGUAAAUUUAUUUUCUCUUCCCCUCUAGUUUUUGUGGAUGUUUUGACUUCUCGUCGACAAAUAAUACUAAUCUUGUCUAGUACCGCCUUAGUUUCACCGGCCCUCUAGUACAAGGUUAUUAUUAUUUGGCACGAUAAGCCCUUAGCACCAUAUUGAUUAGAGCGUGGUUCAUGAAGUGUGGAUUCCCCCCUCAUGAUUUAAUUGGCAUUAAUAUGGAUUAUUUAUCCCAUGAUACAUGUUGAUACGGAUCUGUUGAGUGUUAGAAAAUGCAUAUUUAUAAAGGAGAAAACCGUCAUUUUACAUUUCAAGUCUUACUAACAACCCUUACUUUUAUGUAUUUAACCUUCUUGUGAUUUAAUUACAUGUGUUUUAUUUUAAUUAAGUAUUUUAUGUAUUUUAAGGGCAUUAUAGUCAUUUCACAAUAAAGGAGAAAUCAGACGGCAAAACGGACAUCACUUUUGAACUCAGGACAGUCGAAAACCUUAGGAGGAGCAUAAAAGAAAAAAUGGCACUAUUCAUAUGUACGGUACUAUUCACGUGUACGGUACUAACUACGUUACUGUUCACAACACUGUUCACAUAGACGGAUCGAUGACGUGGCAUUGACCGAUGAUGUGGCAUUGACUGAUGAGGUGUCACGAUCCUGUUAGGCUAAAAUUCUUAUGUAUUGUUGAUGGUGACGUGGCAGCAUAUCAGUGGAUGAAAAAUCUCGCGUACGGUACAUGCAUCACACAUGAUUAUUUUCAACCAAACCACGUUACUGUUCAUCAGAGUCAAACCGUGUUACUGUUCAUCCGCAUGGUCAAACCGUGGACUGUUGACUGAUGACGUGGCGCAAUCCUGAGCGUCUAAACUGUUUUUAAUCCGAUGGCCAUGAUUUACUCCAUGUAUCUAUAAAAAGGGGGCCUCCCCCCCUAAUUUGAUAUCUCUAAAUCCAUUUUUGGGAUCCAUUUUAUGUAAUUCCUUCUCCAUCUUGUAUUUUCUUCGUAUUUUAAUAAAUUCCUAUUUUGCCCCUAGUUCAAUUAUGAGUGGCUAAUUUUCUUUCAAGCUUGGGUUGAAGGUGAAGUCUCAACAUGUGUCAUGGGCUUAAUUUGGUAAAUUUAUUUUCUCUUCCCCUCUAGUUUUUGUGGAUGUUUUGACUUCUCAUCGACAAAUAAUAAUAAUCUUGUCUAGAUACCGCCUUGGUUACACCGGCUCUCUAGUAUAAGGUUAUUAUUAUUUGGCACGAUAAGCCCUUAGCACCAUAUUGAUUAGAGCGUGGUUCAUGAGGUGUGGAUUCCCCUCUCAUGAUUUAAUUGGCAUUAAUACGGAUUAUUUAGCCCAUGAUGCAUGUUGAUACGGAUUCAGAUACCCAAGUACGUCAUUUCAAUAGAAUUAUCUUCAAUUUAUUCUCGCCAUUGCAAUUUCAAUUUUAGAAUUUAUUCUUGCCAUUUUAAUUUAAGUUUUAGCAUAUUCCAAACCAUUUCCACCAUAAAUCCAACCACCCAUUUACAAAAUUAAUUCUACACAUAAUUAAAAUCCACCUCCUCGUGGGAUCGACACUCGUCACCAUUGAUCUAUACUACAAUAGAUUCGUGCGCUUGCGAGUACAUUAAAAUUUGCACAACAAGUUUUUGGCGCCGUUGCCGGAGAGGUAAGUAAUUUUAAUUCAUAGAAUUAAUUUUUGUGAAUAAUUUCUUUUAUUUGUUUUCUUGUAUUUUUUUUAUUAUUAAAAAAAAGAAAAAGAAAAAAAAGUGAAUCUACAUUUAAAGGUUAGUAUUUCUUUUCUUUUUCUCUUCUUUA